AGUGGCCUUGGAAAAACUGAGAUUAGAACCAAGUUAGAGCCAAGGUUAGAGCCGAAUGACCUGAUUUAUGUACAUGGCAGUUAUGCUUAACAGCAAAGGUGAUUUUUAGACUUGAUCUGGCUCUGCGGCCUCAAUUUUACGUCCCCUGCUUAGCAUGAUAUAAUUAGUUAGGUACCAAUAACACAUAGUCAAAAUGGUUACCGGUAACGGUAACGCUUCGAUAAGCGAAAGGAGCUGACGGCUGAAAAGCCUUUCAUCAUGAAGACCGCCGUCGCUCUCGCCUGCCUGCUGGUGGCCGUCGCUGCCAGGCCCCAGUUGGGAUUGGGUGUGGGCACUGGUCUUGGAACUGUCGGAACCCUUGGAACCAGCCGUCUCACCACGGGCGGUUUGGGCACAGGCCUCGGAUUCGGCACAGGCCUCGGCACAGGCCUCGGUGUUGGCACAGGCCUUGGACUCGGCACAGGCCUCGGACUCGGCACAGGUCUCGGACUCGGCACAGGACUCGGUGUCGGUGGCACUCGGGUCACCACUAGCCAGACGACUUUCGGCAACACUUUCGGCCGCUAAUCCACAGAUUCUGAGUGCAUGCUUGAAAUAUACCCUUACACCUUUUCGGAACCAUGCGACGUCAGCUCGCUGAUUCUCAGUGCAGACAAAAAUGUGCCUUUUAUCUUUUGGAACCAUGCGAUGUCAGUCUCGUGGAAGUUUUUCCUUGAAGGAAACAGUGUGACUGUAUAUCGUUUGCUCAUUGCUGUGCAUUACUUGUUGUCAUUCCAUAAUAAAUGUGCAAUUU